UCGUUAAGUUCUAAGGCAGUUACUGCGUAUUUCGAAUCGAUACCUACAUACUUGAUACUUUACCUGUUAAAUUGAAAAUUAUAUGAAUUGAAAUAUUGUAUUAAUCAUAGAUCUGUGACUAAUUCCAUACAACUUGCAAUGUGGUCCAAUCAAAACUUUAAUGUAAUAGUCGCAGUUUGUGAAAAUAGAGGCAUUGGAGACUGCGGCGGAGUUCCCUGGCGUAUAAACGGGGAAGUAGCCUUCUUCAAAACGGAUACAGUACAAAAUAGCGAUCCUAUGAAGAACAAUGCAGAUAUCAUAGGCAGAGAAUCAUGGGAAUGCAUUCCUGUCAAAUACCGACCACUGGAACGCGGAUAUGUCAUAUUGACUAGAAAUGUGGCUCAAAUAAAGCAAUCGGUAGCAGGUAUACGCGAUGUAGAAACAGCAGGUAGCUUUGAUGAAGCUCUUGCAAUUAUAGAGGAACAUCCAUAUUUAGAGUCGACGUGGGUGAUUGGGAGAGGUCAAAUUUAUAAGUCCACAGGAAAGCUUGAUUCCGGCAUGCGGGGACCUUACAGGGUCGUGAACAUCCUGCCUAGUGGAAGGUAUGAACUGAGGCUCCUAAGUGUUGACUAGGGAAAGACAACACAAGCUGCGGCUCAGUAUAUUGUGCCCUGGCGGGGUGAAUGGUAUCCCGAGGCAUGUGCUGCGUUCUUCCAUUGUGAAGCAGACGAUUUAGAACCCACUCGAUCAUCGCCACCUAGUGAAGCCAAUUCACAUGCUGAAGGCGAGUAUCCCAGCUGAAGUUAGUUUGUCUAUGCUGGAUUAGAACAAGGGCGUGCUCCAGCUUCAAGGAUCUUGGACGAUCCACCUUCAGGAGAGGCCGUAUAGGCAGACCCCCCGUUAUUGUACCGAGUAAGCUGAUAAAAAGAGCGUAUUCGGACUGGCUCGUUUAUUUGCUUGGACGCGCUUGGUGAGGACAGUUCGGAUUACUCGGUACACGUGAGCCAUUUUCAUUUAAAUAUCUUUAAAUUGUGCUUGUGAAUUACUUGUUGAUUGAAUACUUAUACUAAAUAACUAUUUGUAAUACUUAUUGCUCCGUUUGAUAAAUUAUAUUUUAAUACCAUAAUAUAAGGUUUGAUUGUUA